rnacentral:rRNA from 1 species
UUCCUUGUCGGGUAAGUUCCGACCUGCACGAAUGGCGUAAUGAUGGCCAGGCUGUCUCCACCCGAGACUCAGUGAAAUUGAACUCGCUGUGAAGAUGCAGUGUACCCGCGGCAAGACGGAAAGACCCCGUGAACCUUUACUAUAGCUUGACACUGAACAUUGAGCCUUGAUGUGUAGGAUAGGUGGGAGGCUUUGAAGUGUGGACGCCAGUCUGCAUGGAGCCGACCUUGAAAUACCACCCUUUAAUGUUUGAUGUUCUAACGUUGACCCGUAAUCCGGGUUGCGGACAGUGUCUGGUGGGUAGUUUGACUGGGGCGGUCUCCUCCUAAAGAGUAACGGAGGAGCACGAAGGUUGGCUAAUCCUGGUCGGACAUCAGGAGGUUAGUGCAAUGGCAUAAGCCAGCUUGACUGCGAGCGUGACGGCGCGAGCAGGUGCGAAAGCAGGUCAUAGUGAUCCGGUGGUUCUGAAUGGAAGGGCCAUCGCUCAACGGAUAAAAGGUACUCCGGGGAUAACAGGCUGAUACCGCCCAAGAGUUCAUAUCGACGGCGGUGUUUGGCACCUCGAUGUCGGCUCAUCACAUCCUGGGGCUGAAGUAGGUCCCAAGGGUAUGGCUGUUCGCCAUUUAAAGUGGUACGCGAGCUGGGUUUAGAACGUCGUGAGACAGUUCGGUCCCUAUCUGCCGUGGGCGCUGGAGAACUGAGGGGGGCUGCUCCUAGUACGAGAGGACCGGAGUGGACGCAUCACUGGUGUUCGGGUUGUCAUGCCAAUGGCACUGCCCGGUAGCUAAAUGCGGAAGAGAUAAGUGCUGAAAGCAUCUAAGCACGAAACUUGCC